GAAAGGGGCAGGUGGCUCCCACCCGUUCCGGCGGCUCAGGAGCUGUUUGGGAGCUGGAUGCACAGCCCACAACACGGCAAAAGCAGGAGCGAAUGCGAGUUGAUCAAUGCCUCCCUCCUUUCCCAGCCUCACAGGAAGGACCAAAACCUCAGUGCGCCGUCCAAAAAUAUAGGAGAAACAAACCUCACCAGCGCUUGUCGAAGGUGCUGUUACAAUGAGCAAGAAUAUCCAGGAAUUGAGGGAGGCGCUGGAAAGACAAACAAAAGAGGCUCUGAAACUCCAUGAAGAAACCACUGAAUUCCCAGUAGAAUCAGUGAUAUGUUUGAAUCCUGAGGAAUCUUUACCAAGUGGCAGUAUGCCUAGCGUGGGCAAGUAUUAAACAUAUUUCAGAACAAGAUUUGGGAGUAAAUCACUAUGAACGUUGCAGACUAUUAGGUGACUUAGAAGGAUGCUCAUAAGUUUAUGUUUCAUAUUUCAACUUGAAUCCUCUUUAGGCCCUGUGUCUUGAACAGCUCUUAUUGACACAAGCCCAAGGUAAAGGCAGAGCAGGUUUGAAAUGUACUCCUCUGAACAUUGUGGCAUUUGCCAC